AUUUUCUUGACUGACUUUCUAUUAAUCAUUUUGCUGAGCCUGGCUCAAUGUCAUUCCCAAUCAUUUGCACAUGGACCCAUGUUUCCAAACCGAGCUGCUGCACAGAUCUGACCCAGGUGACAGUUAUGUUAGAACUAAUUUUCUGUCUCAUGUAUUGUAUAUCGCACUCGAGUGCACAUGCAAAGUCCCCUAAAGGUAAGAAGCUAUUUGGAUCAACUGAAAUACUCUGAGAAUAACAAAAACAGUAAUUAGGUUUGCUCCAAAAGCACCUCUCGUAUUGUGGCGAGGAGUUAGUCAGAAAUAUUGAAUUUGACCUCUCUCAAUGGGAGUCUGCAAAGACGGCAAUUCAAAAUACAUCCCUGCUACAGUGUGAGAUUUCUGGAAGGUCCACCCACUGCCUUUGGCGAAAGCACACCCUACAGCACUUCCCUGGACUAAUACCCUCUAUGUCGCAGCUCUUAAGCCAGCACCCAAACUUGCAGAUACUGCCCCGUGGGUUGGUGACCCCCACUUUCACAUACAUUUUUAUGUGCUUCAAUCUGCAGGCAACCUGAGAAUUUUGCCUGCAGUACUGCUUUAUUUAAAUUCAUUGCUUACAGGGAAGUAAAAUCAUCUUCUAUGUAUAAGACUCACCUGAGUUCACAAGCCUGAAAAUGAAAACAGCAGAUUUAUUCUAGCAAAGCAAGAGGGUUAAGCUCUUGCUUCAAAUGAAAGACAUAUAAAAAAAAGUAAAAUUUAAAAAAUACCUGACAUCAAUCUCUCACUCUAGUUGUCACUUAGGGUUUCUCCAAGACAUCUCUCACUAGAAAAGCUGCAGGGGCAGCUUCAACACUUUGUUUUCAGAGUGCCUGUGUUCGGUGUGGGACCUCAUCCUGCCACUUCUGUCUCUCAUUUAUAUUUAACAGUUUUCUAGUGGCUUUUGAAUACAAAUGCAGCUUCAAAGCAUGUGGACUGCAUUGUACCAAGGGUAUCAAGGGAGCAAUGAGGGCUUAACUCCAUUGUUGAGGAGAGCAGUAUUAACUAAGACUAAGACUUUGUCAUUAGGAAAAGAAACAGCAUCAAGUGAAAACAACAGUUUCAUGUCAUGUUUCUAUGAUCUUUCCCUUUCUAAAAUUUAAUUAAAAUUGCAAUUAAA
rnacentral:lncRNA from 1 species